rnacentral:lncRNA from 1 species
GUCCUAGGGCAGGUCAGUUGUGUUAAAAUAAGUGGAUAAUUGGCUAAAGAUAAACAAACUCAGAACUGCCCUUGUGGAUGAUUUUACUGACUUUGUUGGGUCAUGGGGCUCCUCCUCCUGGGAGGAGGCCCGCACUCUUUCUCUCCAGCUGUGUCUCUGCCUCGCUUCUGUCUUAACUGAGCAAACUUCCUCUGAGUGCUCUCUCACUGCUGUGCUGUCUCUAAUAAUACACUUUGUACCUGUUUUAGAUUAAAAAAAUUUUUUUCCUCCUUGAGAAAUGCAUUUUUCAAUGGAGGCAAGAGUCAGGGGAACCUUGUCUCUAGCCUCUGGCCCCUGGUGGACGAGCGGCUAGGAGUCCUGGUUUUCAUCCAGGCCACCCGGGUUCAAUAUCCGCGCACAGAGCUAAGCCACCCCUCACGGCUGACUCUCUCCGAGAAUACCUGAUGCUGAAACCCAGGAUUUCAAGGUACCAGCCAGACUGGAAUUUAAGCAAGAAUGAGAAAAUAGAAGACAAAUUUCAGAUGAAGCCUCUAGUCAAGAAAAAUCCUUUGGACUCUGAACCUGAAGCAGGAAGCUCAAAGACUCUCAAGAGUCUGUGGUUGCCUAUCAGCAGCACCCCUACCCAGAAAUCUGCCCAGAUGGUCUAUGGAUGUGCCUUCCUGCUUGGGAAGGAUGUCGCCCAAGGUCCUGCCAUCUUUGUCUUCUGGGUCCAGCCUGUCCUCCUCCUCCUUGACCCUUGCACUUCUCCUGCUGACCAUCCAGAGCCUGAUCCUGGCCCAGUGGCCCAGCCAGCUGUUCUCUGGAGACCCCGUGCUCACAACAGUGGCUGUGCUGCUGCUGCUGCUCAUCACUGGAGUCACGGUCAUCAUCUGGAGGCAGCCCCAGGACCCCUCUCCUCUUCCAUUCAGGGCAAGUGA